GAUUUAAAGGAAUUUAAUCUAUCUAUCUAUCUAUACCUUCUAUCUAUACCUAUACUAAUUACAGUCUCCCAAAAAAUUACCACAUUAAUUAGAUUUUAAGAGCCGUUAAUUUGGUGGGACCGAAUUAUUACGGUGUAGACCGACUCACGGAAGGAAAAAAACAAACGUAUCUCUUUUCCAUGACCUUACUCUCUCAAUCUCUGACGUCACGUAUCUCUCUCCCAUGAAUUACUCUCUCAAUCUCUCACGUCUCAUGUAUAUCUCUUCAAUGAGGAAAAAACAAACGUAUCUCUUUUCCAUGACCUUACUCUCUCAAUCUCUCACGCCACGUAUCUCUCUCCCAUGAAUUACUCUUUCAAUCUCUCACGUCUCACGUAUAUCUCUUCAAUGAGAAAUAAAAUUCACGUAUCUCCCUCCCAUAUGGCCCAACUCCAUCAAUGUCUCCCCUAAAAAAAAAACUCCAUCAAUCUCUAACAAACUCUCACGUAUCCCUCUCCUAUCUCCCAACCCUCUCAAUCUCUCACAUAGUUCUGUAUCUUCACCCCUUCACCCUAAUCUCUCUCAUAUCAUAUCAUCUCUUCCUAGGGUAUGAUCGUGCAAGAAGUGUAAGAUCCAUCAACAUCUGUAUCGUGCAAGAAGUGUAAGAUCCAUGAACAUCUGUUGAUGGGGCACGAUUCUUCUUCUUCUGUCCGAGAUUCAAGUGGUGAUGAUUCAGGCCCUAAUCUCUCUCAAAACAGAUCAGCUCUUCCUAGGGUGCGAGUGUGUAGGAAUUGGAAGAUUGAUCAACAUCUAUUCGUAUGGCGUGAUUCCGCUUCUUCUAUCUGACAUUCAAGUGGUGAUGAUUCAGGUAUUGACAGAUGCACAUGCUCAGAUCAACCAACCAAAGGCAAGAUUCAGAUAGUUUUUAUUAUUUUUUUGCAAUAUGCAUGCUCAGAUCAAUUCCAUCAAAGGUGACUGAUGUGAUGAGAUUAUGCAUGGAGCGCUGGAUGUUCUUCCUAUUCAUGUGUUAUCUGCCAAUUAAAAUCUGGCAGAAUUUUUCUGCUCUUCAAGUAUCGUAGCAACUUCAGAUUAUUUCUUCUUCUCAUGUCGAACGUUCAAUCCUAGCAGCAUUCUUAUGAUUGACCUAUGUGCAUACUAACCAGUACAAUUCUUUUGCAUACAUGAGUACAUGAUGUUCCAGCAACAACUGCAAGAUUCAAACUGUAUUUUUUUCUAAUAUGCUCAGAUCAAUUCCUUUGAUUUGGAUUAAUGUUGUGCGAUUAAGCAUGGAGCGCUGAAUGUUCUUCCUAUUCGCACCUAUGUGAUUAAAUCUUGAAGAAUUUUUCUGGUCAUCAGGUAUCGUAGCAACUUCAGAUUUAUUCUUCGUCAUGUCAAAGGUUCAAUCCUAGCAUUCUUAUAACUGACCUAUGUGGAUAGUAACCAAUAUGAUUGUUUUCGAUCCAAAAGUCUGUGGUGAUGUGGGACCUAUCCUGAACUCCGGGUAGGUAGAUGGAGAAAAAAAGGUAAUGUGAGAUGCGAUUGGGGCAACAUAAAUAAUAGCGCACUUACUUUUUUUCUUUUUGCAAUGAACCGAUCACUUCACCGAACCUGUAUGUCUCUGUCUAGGAACUCUUUCAACAGAUUCUUUCUUGCAAGACCUUGCGGUAACAACUUCUCCAGAAUUUCGCUUGGACGUGCCAGCGACAACCCAUCAAAGGUACCCCACUCAAUCCUCUUGUGCGGACACGGCAACACUUUCGCCCUUGAACAUAACAGACAUCCCGUCAACCGCACCGCGUGAGCUUCUCCUACAAACUGCAUCUUACCAAUCAGUUUGCAUAGUUGAACUCUUCUGUAAAAUAUUUACAGGAACGAAUGUAUGUCAAAUUAUCUCUAUGAUACUUUAGCAUGGUGAAAACUACAAUUGCUGUAUGCAGAACUUUAUGUGAGAGUAUGGACCUAUCCUGAACUCCGGGUAGGUAGAUGGAGAAAAAAAGGUAAUGUGAGAUGCGAUUGGGGUAACAUAAAUAAUAGCGCACUUACUUUUUUUUUCUUUUUGCAAUGAACCGAUCACUUCCCCGAACCUGUAUGUCUCUGUCUAGGAACUCUUUCAACAGAUUCUUUCUUGCAAGACCUUGCGGUAACAACUUCUCCAGAAUUUCACUUGGACAUGCCAGCUACAACCCAUCAAAGGUACCCCACUCAAUCCUCUUGUGCGGACACGGCAACACUUUCGCCCUUGAACAUAACAGACAUCCCGUCAACCGCACCGCGUGAGCUUCUCCUACAAACUGCAUCUUACCAAUCAGUUUGCAUAGUUGAACUCUUCUGUAAAAUAUUUACAGGAACGAAUGUAUGUCAAAUUAUCUCUCUGAUACUUUAGCAUGGUGAAAACUACAAUUGCUGUAUGCAGAACUUUAUGUGAGAGUAUGAGAAGCAAGAAAUGAAUAAUCAUGGUGAAAAUAGCCACACUUUGGGAUGCGUUAUUAAUCACUAGGCAAUAUGGAUAGUCUUUCGAUGGUCCUCUGGAGGUACAAUGAUUUUUUUUAUGAGUUACACCUUUGUUGACUUUUUACCUGUGACUUAAUUUCUAUCUCCUUGACUGUUAUGAAUAGACAUGAAGGGAAUGGAGUUAUAUAUCAAGAGACCUGUACUGAAAACUUCAAAUACUAGGCUCGAGAACAACAACAAUAACAAGUAACAAUGCAAUGUCUUGGAAAAUAAUACAUCAGGUAGCUCUAAGAAUUUAUAGACAGCAUAAGUACAUGGAUUGCGGCGAGUAGAGCAUGUUUUGGAACUUGGAAUAGAGGUUGGCGUUGCAAGUGCACAUGGUUGUCCGGAAGCAGCGAUCAGACGUUGGCUAGGGUCUCAAGCGCUUGGUAGAAGAAAUGGAGGAAACGGAUUUAGGGCACCUGCUGGCGCAGAUGCAAGACGCUCAUGUGUGUUUCUGAAUUUCUCUUCAUCUACUUGGAGACACGCUAUGACGCUUCUAAUCUAUAUUUACUAUUACACUGUUCUCUGUUAUCACGUUGGCUCCAUGUUGUCCUGUAACGGAAGAUGCAUGUAUAUGAUCCUGAAUGCCUUUCCUGAGUGUCGUUUCAGUGUUGUACACACUUCUUUUCCCAUAUAACAUAUUGUAUUUUUUACAGCUUUAUUAGUACCUAAAAAAUACAAAUAAUUCAUUAAUGUUUAA